CCGAUCGAUGAUGAGGAGCUUGUGGGCUAUAUACUCACAGGCCUUGACAUGGAGUAUAACUCGAUUGUCUUUGCAGUUCUUGCUCGGGUCGAACCGAUCUCUUUCAAUGAGCUGUACGCGCAACUGCUCAGUUUUGAGC